rnacentral:lncRNA from 1 species
AGAAAAGCAUUAUUGGUAGUAGUGGAAAGAGCAACCUCUGACUGGAGGAUGCCAGCCUGCUGAGUGGUGACAUAGCCCUAAUGGAGUAAGUCCCUACCCUGUGUGAGGUACAGGUGGUACUCUGUCUUGGACUGUCCACCCUCAAUCAUAGGGCAGUGCUUUUCAUUGAGAAGCUGAUCCUUGGAAAGAUGGAGAGGUUUUCAAAAACUAUAGCCACAGAAUCAGAAUAUGGACCCCAAUCCACCCUCUGUGGACUUAGACCUUCUUCCCUCAUUGUCCAAGCCCCAAAUGACCCCUCUCCCCAUUUGGUACCCCUACACCCUAGGGGUAGGUUCCAAGAGUUCAGAGAUCCUAGUUCUGGCUAGAAAUCCAGAAACAUUGCCCCUCCAUCUGGUCGUUGUUAUAAAAACAAAUUCACUUGAAGGUUUGAAGCACCCCUGCCUUCAUGGAUGGACCUCUGUGGUGCCUUUGGUCCUGAGUCCCUAGAUGAUCUCUCAAGCCAUAUUUGAAGGGAGCAUU